ACCUCGGUAGCUUAGUUGGUGGAGCAACAGGGCGUAAACUUGAGAGACUUGGGUUCAUAUCCCAGUCGAGGUU